UCCCUAGUGGUCCAGUGGUUAGGACUCUGUGCUCCCACAGCAGGGGGCAUAGGUUCCACUCCUGGUUAGGGAA
rnacentral:tRNA from 1 species